rnacentral:rRNA from 1 species
CAUACGCUCGAGGACCGGACACGGUGCCGCCGCUGCCUUUCGGGCCGUCCCCCUAGGGAGGGGACGGGGGCCAACACACAAGCCGUGCUUGAGGCUGUGGCAACUCGGACCGGCGCCCGGAAUACCAGGGGGCGCAAUGUGCGUUCAAAGACUCGAUGAUUCACUGAAUUCUGCGAAUUCACAUUACGUAUCGCAUUUCGCUGCGUUCUUCAUCGAUGCCGGAACCAAGAGAUCCGUUGUUGAAAGUUUUAACGAUUUUUAUAUCAUUCCUCCAGACUGCAACCUUCAGACAGUGUUCAUGGUUGAGGUCUCCGGCAGAGCACGGGCCGGGGGCAGUGAAGCCCCCGGCGGCCACGAUGGGCGGGCCCGCCGAAGCAACAGGGUACAAAUAGACACGGAUGGGAGGACGGGCACCCCGCGAGGGCGCCCAAACACUCGGCCGAAUCCUUCCGCAGGUUCACCUACGGAUACAGGUGUACCUUCGAUGUGUCUUGGUUCGGUUACGUGUGCUCCUGAGGCAUCGGGUAGUAACAGAGAGUUUGAUCCUGGCUCAGAUUGAACGCUGGCGGGAUGCUUUACAUGCAAGUCGAACGGCAGCACGGACUUCCGGUCUGGUGGCGAGUGGCGAACGGGUGAGUAAUGUAUCGGAACGUGCCUAGUAGCAAGGGGAUAACUACGCAGCGUAGCUAAUACCGCAUACGCCCUUCGAGGAAAGCGGGGGACCUUCGGGCCUCGCACUAUUAGAACGGCCGAUAUCCGGAUUAGCUAGUUGGUGGGGUAACGGCUCACCAAGGCGACGAUCCGUAGCUGGUUUGAGGACGACCAGCCACACUGGGACUGAGACACGGCCCAGACUCCUACGGGAAGGCAGCAGUGGGGAAUUUUGGACAAUGGGGAAACCCACAGUCCAGCCAUCCCGCGUGUGCGAUGAAGGCCUUCGGGUUGUAAAGCACUUUUGGCAGGAAAGAAACAGCUGCGGAUAAUACCCCGUGCAACUGACGUGCAGAAUAAGCGCCGGCUAACUACGUGCCAGCAGCCGCGGUAAUACGUAGGGUGCAAGCGUUAAUCGGGAUUACUGGGCGUAAAGCGUGCGCAGGCGGUUCCGGAAAGAAGAUGUGAAAUCCCAGAGCUUAACUUUGGAACUGCAUUUUUAACUACCGAGCUAGAGUGUGUCAGAGGGAGGUGGAAUUCCGCGUGUAGCAGUGAAAUGCGUAGAUAUGCGGAGGAACACCGAUAGCGAAGGCAGCCUCCUGGGAUAACACUGACGCUCAUGCCACGAAAGCGUGGGGAGCAAACAGGAUUAGAUGCCCUGGUAGUCCACGCCUAAACGAUGUCAACUAGCUGUUGGGGCCUUCGGGCCUUGGUAGCGCAGCUAACGCGCGUGAAGUUGACCGCCUGGGGAGGCUGGUCGCAAGAUUAAAACUCAAGGAAUUGACGGGGACCCACACAAGCGGUGGAUGAUGUGGAUUAAUUCGAUGCAACGCGAAAAACCUUACCUACCCUUGACAUGUCUGGAAUCCCGAAGAGAUUUGGGAGUGCUCGCAAGAGAACCGGAACACAGGUGCUGCAUGGCUGUCGUCAGCUCGUGUCGUGAGAUGUUGGGUUAAGUCCCGCAACGGCUGGCACUUGUCAUUAGUUGCUACGAAAGGGCACUCUAAUGAGACUGCCGGUGACAAACCGGAGGAAGGUGGGGAUGACGUCAAGUCCUCAUGGCCCUUAUGGGUAGGGCUUCACACGUCAUACAAUGGUCGGGACAGAGGGUCGCCAACCCGCGAAGAGGCCAAUCCCAGAAACCCGAUCGUAGUCCGGAUCGCAGUCUGCAACUCGACUGCGUGAAGUCGGAAUCGCUAGUAAUCGCGGAUCAGCAUGUCGCGGUGAAUACGUUCCAGAUCGCCACCACACCGCCCGUCACACCAUGGGAGUGGGUUUACCAAGUAGUUAGCCUAACCGUAAGGAGGGCGAUUGCACGGUAGGAUUCAUGACUGGGGUGAAGUCGUAACAAGGUACAG